UUGAUUCACAGGCGCCGCUUUAAAUCUGAUUUUAAAUCUGACUUAAUUUGUUCGUUUUCGGUCUCAUUUAAAUCUGAUUUAAUUUCUUUCCUUCCUUACCGGCCACCCGAACCCGGGGGCGAAUCGGCUGUGAGUCAACGGCGGCUCGCAGCGCGUUGCCUAGCAACGGCGGUGGGGUAGGCCGCAGGCGAAGCGGCCUGCGGGGCGUUUGGGAGCCGCGGGCCGGCGGUGAAGUGGUCUCGGGCUUCUGUCAGCCGCCUUUACCUGCACAGUCGCCACAGAGAGCCGCAGGGAUCUCCAGACGGCUUCCCUGUGCUCUGCCCCUGUUUUGGGUGGGGAAUCCUUCCUCCGGAGCGCCACACGAAGCUCUGUUGUUUGAGGAGAAGUGUCAUCUGUUCCACAGAAUCACAGAAUGGCCAGGCUUGGAAGAGACCUCAAGGAUCACGAAGCUCCAACCCCCUGCCACAUGCAGGGCCACCAACCUCCACAUUUCAUAGCAGCUCAGGCUGCCCAGGGCCCCAUCCAACCUGGCCUUGAACACCUCCAGGGAUGGACGGGGCAUCACAGCCUCUCUGGGCAGCUGUUCCAGCACCUCACCACUCUCAUAGCAAAGAACUUCCCCUGACAUCCAACCUCAAUCUUCCCUCCCUCAACUUCAAACCAUUUCCCCUUGUUCUAUCACUAUCAACUCUUUCCAAGAGUUGAUUCCCCUCCUGUUUGCAGGCUCCCUUUAGGUACUGAAAGGCUGCCAUGAGGUCACCCCACAGCCUUCUUUUCUCCAUGCUGAACAAGCCCAGCUCCCUCAUCCUGUCCUCGUAGGGGAGGUGCUCCAGUCCCCUGCUCAUCUCUGUGGCUCCUCUGCACCCUCUCCAACAGCUCCCUGUCUUUCUUGUGCUGGGGGCUCCAGACCUGGACACAGCACUGCAGAUGGGGCCUCACAGGAGCAGAGCAGAGGGGGACAAUCACCUCCCUGUCCCUGCUGGCCACCCCUCUGCUGAUGGAGCACAGGAUGCCAUUUGCUUUCCAUGCUGAAACACACCUGCCAACAGAAAUGCAU